rnacentral:rRNA from 1 species
CGUAGGGGGCAAGCGUUGUCCGGAUUUACUGGGCGUAAAGAGCGUGUAGGCGGCCAGACAGGUCUGUUGUGAAAACUGGAGGCUCAACCUCCAGACGUCGACAGAAACCGUCUGGCUAGAGUCCGGAAGAGGAGAGUGGAAUUCCUGGUGUAGCGGUGAAAUGCGCAGAUAUCAGGAAGAACACCAAUGGCGAAGGCAGCUCUCUGGGACGGUACUGACGCUGAGACGCGAAAGCGUGGGGAGCGAACAGGAUUAGAUACCCUGGUAGUCCACGCCGUAAACGAUGGGUGCUAGGUGUGGGAGGUGUCGACUCCUCCCGUGCCUCAGCUAACGCAUUAAGCACCCCGCCUGGGGAGUACGGCCGCAAGGCUA